rnacentral:rRNA from 1 species
UACGUAGAGGGCAAGCGUUGUCCGGAAUUAUUGGGCGUAAAGCGCGUGUAGGCGGCUUUGCAAGUCGGGUGUGAAAUCCCUCAGCUCAACUGAGGAAGUGCGCCCGAAACUGCAGAGCUUGAGUACCGGAGAGGAUGGCGGAAUUCCCCAAGUAGAGGUGAAAUUCGUAGAUAUCGGGAGGAACACCAGUGGCGCAGGCGGCGUCCUGGCCCGGUACUGACGCUGAGGCACGAAAGCGUGGGGAGCAAACAGG